rnacentral:ncRNA from 2 species
UGCCUAAGUAGAGGCGCUGUAAUUAAGAGUAUUUAUUUGGAGCUGGCAAGCUGUAAUAAAUAAAGAAAGGAAUUGCAGCCGAAGGAAAUUAAUUUUUGCAAGGUUAUUUCCUGGUCUUACAUAAAAUAUGUGUAAGGCUGUCACCUUAUAUUAAAGGUGGAGAGCUACAAAGGUC